rnacentral:rRNA from 1 species
AGCAGCCGCGGUAAUUCCAGCUCCAAUAGCGUAUAUUAAAGUUGUUGCAGUUAAAAAGCUCGUAGUUGAAUUUCGGGGUUAGUAGGUUGGUCAUGCCUCUGGUAUGUACUGGUCUCACUGAUUCCUCCUUCCUGAUGAGCCGUAAUGCCAUUAAUUUGGUGUUGCGGGGAAUUUGGACUGUUACUUUGAAAAAAUUAGAGUGUUUAAAGCAAGCUAACGCUUGAAUACAUUAGCAUGGAAUAAUGAAAUAGGACGUUCGAUCCUAUUUUGUUGGUUUCUAGGAUUGACGUAAUGAUUAAUAGGGAUAGUUGGGGGCAUUAGUAUUCGAUUGUCAGAGGUGAAAUUCUUGGAUUUAUUGAAGACUAACUACUGCGAAAGCAUUUGCCAAGGAUGUUUUCAUUAAUCAAGAACGAAAGUUAGGGGAUCGAAGACGAUCAGAUACCGUCGUAGUCUUAACCAUAAACUAUGCCGACUAGGGAUCGGAUGAUGUUAAUUUUUUAAUGACUC